UACGGAGGGUGCAAGCGUUAAUCGGAAUUACUGGGCGUAAAGCGUGCGUAGGCGGUUUUGUAAGACAGGUGUGAAAUCCCCGGGCUUAACCUGGGAACUGCGCUUGUGACUGCAAGACUUGAGUGCGGCAGAGGGGGGUGGAAUUCCACGUGUAGCAGUGAAAUGCGUAGAGAUGUGGAGGAACACCGAUGGCGAAGGCAGCCCCCUGGGUCGACACUGACGCUGAGGCACGAAAGCGUGGGGAGCAAACAGG
rnacentral:rRNA from 1 species